AUUGAACGCUGGCGGCAUGCCUAACACAUGCAAGUCGAACGGUAACAGGUCUUCGGAUGCUGCCGAGGGGCGAAGGGGGGAGUAAUAUACCGGAACGUGCCCGAUCGCGGGGGGUAACGAGUCCAAAUCUUGGCUAAUAUCGCACACCAUCUACGGAUGAAAGCGGGGGAUCUUCGGAGCUCGCGCGGACGGAGCGGCCGAUGGCAGAUUAGGUAGUUGGUGGGAUAAAGGCUUACCAAGCCGACGAUCUGUAACUGGUCUGAGAGGAUGAGCAGCCACACUGGGACUGAGACACGGCCCAGACUCCUACGGGAGGCAGCAGUGGGGAAUAUUGGACAAUGGGCGAAAGCCUGAUCCAGCCAUGCCGCGUGAAGGAUGAAGGCCUUCGGAUUGUAAAGUGCUUUUGUCCGGAACGAAGAGCAGCUUUCUAAUACAGAGGGGUCAUGACGGUACCGAAAGAAUAAGCACCGGCUAACUACGUG
rnacentral:rRNA from 1 species